UACGGAGGAUCCAAGCGUUAUCCGGAAUUACUGGGCGUAAAGAGUUGCGUAGGUGGCAUGGUAAGUUGCUAGUGAAAUCCUGGGGCUCAACCCCUUACCCAUUAGCAAAACUGCCAAGCUAGAGGACGAGAGAGGUACCUGGAAUUCCUAGUGUAGGAGUGAAAUCCGUAGAUAUUAGGAGGAACACCGAUGGCGUAGGCAGGGUACUGGCUUGUUCCUGACACUAAGGCACGAAAGCGUGGGGA
rnacentral:rRNA from 1 species